GCGCCAGUAGCUCAGUUGGAUAGAGUAUCACACUACGAAUGUGAGGGUCACGAGUUCGAAUCUUGUCUGGCGCGCCA
rnacentral:tRNA from 1 species